rnacentral:rRNA from 1 species
CCUACGGGAGGCUGCAGUGGGGGAUAUUGCACAAUGGGGGAAACCCUGAUGCAGCGACGCCGCGUGGGUGAAGAAGUAUUUCGGUAUGUAAAGCCCUAUCAGCAGGGAAGAAAGAAGACGGUACCUGACUAAGAAGCCCCGGCUAACUACGUGCCAGCAGCCGCGGUAAUACGUAGGGGGCGAGCGUUAUCCGGAUUCACUGGGUGUAAAGGGAGCGUAGACGGCCGUGCAAGCCAGGAGUGAAAGCCCGGGGCCCAACCCCGGGACUGCUCUUGGAACUGUGCGGCUGGAGUGCGGGGGGGGCAGGCGGAAUUCCUGGUGUAGCGGUGAAAUGCGUAGAUAUCAGGAGGAACACCGGCGGCGAAGGCGGCCUGCUGGACCGCGACUGACGUUGAGGCUCGAAAGCGUGGGGAGCGAACAGGAUUAGAUACCCCAGUAGUC